rnacentral:rRNA from 1 species
UACGGGGGGAGCAAGCGUUGUUCGGAUUUACUGGGCGUAAAGGGCGCGUAGGCGGCCACCGCAAGUCAGUUGUGAAAUCUCUGGGCUUAACUCGGAAAGGUCAACUGAUACUGUGCGACUAGAGUGCGGAAGGGGCAACUGGAAUUCUCGGUGUAGCGGUGAAAUGCGCAGAUAUCAGGAAGAACACCCGUGGCGAAGGCGGUUCUCUGGGACGGUACUGACGCUGAGACGCGAAAGCGUGGGGAGCGAACAGG